CCUACGGGAGGCAGCAGUGGGGAAUAUUGGACAAUGGGCGAAAGCCUGAUCCAGCCAUGCCGCGUGUGUGAAGAAGGCCUUCGGGUUGUAAAGCACUUUCAGUGGGGAAGAAAGCCUUGGGGCUAAUACCCUCGAGGAAGGACAUCACCCACAGAAGAAGCACCGGCUAACUCCGUGCCAGCAGCCGCGGUAAUACGGAGGGUGCGAGCGUUAAUCGGAAUUACUGGGCGUAAAGCGCGCGUAGGCGGUCUGAUAAGCCGGUUGUGAAAGCCCCGGGCUCAACCUGGGAACGGCAUCCGGAACUGUCAGGCUAGAGUGCAGGAGAGGGAGGUAGAAUUCCCGGUGUAGCGGUGAAAUGCGUAGAGAUCGGGAGGAAUACCAGUGGCGAAGGCGGCCUUCUGGACUGACACUGACGCUGAGGUGCGAAAGCGUGGGUAGCAAACAGGAUUAGAUACCCGGGUAGUC
rnacentral:rRNA from 1 species